rnacentral:rRNA from 1 species
GAUGAACGCUAGCGGCAGGCUUAAUACAUGCAAGUCGAGGGGCAGCACGGUUAGCAAUAACUGGUGGCGACCGGCGCACGGGUGCGUAACACGUAUACAAUCUACCUUAAACAGGGGGAUAGCCUUUCGAAAGAGAGAUUAAUACCCGUAAUAAAUUGAACGGCAUCGUUUGAUUUUGAAAGCUCCGGCGGUUUGAGAUGAGUAUGCGUCUGAUUAGCUAGUUGGUGAGGUAACGGCUCACCAAGGCGACGAUCAGUAGGGGAUCUGAGAGGACUAACCCCCACACUGGUACUGAGACACGGACCAGACUCCUACGGGAGGCAGCAGUAAGGAAUAUUGGUCAAUGGACGGAAGUCUGAACCAGCCAUGCCGCGUGCAGGAUGACGGCCCUAUGGGUUGUAAACUGCUUUUAUACAAGAGAAAACCCUGGUACGUGUACCAGGUUGAUAGUAUUGUAAGAAUAAGCAUCGGCUAACUUCGUGCCAGCAGCCGCGGUAAU